GACUUACUGGUCUUCCAUAAACAGACUUGUGCCUCAGAGGCUAACUUUCUAGGUGCAAUCCCAUGGUCAUUCAUGACUGUAGGGGUCCUUUACCUUUUACCCUAUGUACAUAAAUUGGCAUGGAGAAGGGAG